ensembl:lncRNA
CUGAAAACUGUAAUCAUAACUAAUUGUAAAUAAGUAAUAAUUGUAAAGGUAGGGUUAGGCUGUAGUGAUUAGUGGAUAAUGGAGGUGUAGUGGAUUAGGGUGUAGGGAUUAGUAGAUAAUGGAGGUGUAGUGGAUUAGGGUGUAGGGAUUAGUAGAUAAUGGAGGUGUAGUGGAUUAGGGUGUAGGGAUUAGCAGAUAAUGGAGGUGUAGUGGAUUAGGUUGUGGGGAUUAUCAGAUAAUGGAGGUGUAGUGGAUUAGGUUGUGGGGAUUAGUAGAUAAUGGAGGUGUAGUGGAUUAGGUUGUGGGGAUUAGUAGAUAAUGGAGGUGUAGUGGAUUACAGUGUAGGGAUUAGUAGAAAUGGAGGUGUAGUGGAUUAGGGUGUGGGGAUUAGUGGAUAAUGGAGGUGUAGUGGAUUAGGGUGUAGGGAUUAGUGGAUAAUGGAGGUGCAGUUGCAGGAAGUAGACUAGUUUCAGCAGAUCUGUGUUAGGGCAAGAUUUUAGGUCCUG